rnacentral:rRNA from 1 species
AUUGAACGCUGGCGGCAGGCCUAACACAUGCAAGUCGAACGAGUGGCGGACGGGUGAGUAAUGUCUGGGAAACUGCAUGAUGGAGGGGGAUAACUACUGGAAACGGUAGCUAAUACCGCAUACCAUCGGAUGUGCCCAGAUGGGAUUAGCUAGUAGGUGGGGUAAGGGAUCACCUAGGCGACGAUCCCUAGCUGGUCUGAGUGGAUGACCAGCCACACUGGAACUGAGACACGAGCCAGACUCAUACGAGAGGCAGCAGUGGGGAAUAUUGCACAAGGGGCGGAAGCCUGAUGCAGCCAUGCCGCGUGUAUGAAGGAGGCCAUCGGGUUUUAAAGUACUUUCAGCGGGGAGGCGUUACCCGCAGAAGAAGCACCGGCUAACUCCGUGCCAGCAGCCGCGGUAAUAC